rnacentral:tRNA from 1 species
GCGAAAGUGGCGGAAUUUGGUAUACGCGUUAGAUUUAGAAUCUAAUAUAAUAAAUGUUUAUGAGAGUUCAAAUCUCUCCUUUCGUA